rnacentral:rRNA from 1 species
GUAGGUGGCAAGCGUUGUCCGGGAAUUAUUGGGGCGUAAAGCGCGCGCAGGCGGUUCUUUAAGUCUGAUGUGAAAGCCCACGGGCUCAACCGUGAGGGUCAUUGGAAACUGGAGAACUUGAGUACAGAAGAGGAAAGCGGAAUUCCACGUGUAGCGGUGAAAUGCGUAGAGAUGUGGAGGAACACCAGUGGCGAAGGCGGCUUUCUGGUCUGUAACUGACGCUGAGGCGCGAAAGCGUGGGGAGCAAACAGGAUUAGAUACCCUGGUAGUCCACGCCGUAAACGAUGAGUGCUAAGUGUUAGGGGGUCUCCGCCCCUUAGUGCUGCAGCUAACGCAUUAAGCACUCCGCCUGGGGAGUACGGCCGCAAAGGCUG